rnacentral:misc_RNA from 1 species
GAUGAAGAACGUAGCGAAAUGUGAUAAGUAAUGUGAAUUGCAGAAUUCAGUGAAUCAUCGAAUCUUUGAACGCACAUUGCGCCCCUUGGUAUUCCGAGGGGCAUGCCUGUUCGAGCGUCAUUAUAACCCCUCAAGCUCAGCUUGGUGUUGGGGCCUGCCGCACGGGCAGCCCUUAAAAUCAGUGGCGGUGCCAUCUGGCUCUAAGCGUAGUAAUUCUUCUCGCUAUAGAGUCCCGGUGGAUGCUUGCCAUUAACCCCCAAUUUUCUAUGGUUGACCUCGGAUCAGGUAGGGAUACCCGCUGAACUUAAGCAUAUCAUAAGCGGAGGA